GGGCCGGUAGCUCAGUCGGUAGAGCAUCGCCCUUUUAAGGCGGUGGUCCGGGGUUCGAGCCCCCGCCGGCUCACCA
rnacentral:tRNA from 1 species